rnacentral:tRNA from 3 species
GCUCCCUUCGUCUAGCGGUCAGGACGCCGGCCUCUCACGCCGGUAACAGGGGUUCGAUUCCCCUAGGGAGCGCCA